CCUACGGGUGGCAGCAGUGAGGAAUAUUGGUCAAUGGGCGGAAGCCUGAACCAGCCAAGUCGCGUGAAGGAAGAAGGUCCUUAGCAUUGUAAACUUCUUUUGUCAGGGAACAAAGUCGGAGACGCGUCUCUGGCUGAGUGUACCCGAAGAAAAAGCAUCGGCUAACUCCGUGCCAGCAGCCGCGGUAAUACGGAGGAUGCGAGCGUUAUCCGGAUUUAUUGGGUUUAAAGGGUGCGCAGGCGGGAGAUCAAGUCAGCGGUAAAAUGUCGGGGCUCAACCCCGGCCGGCCGUUGAAACUGGGUGUCUAGAGUGGGAGAGAGGUAUGCGGAAUGCGUGGUGUAGCGGUGAAAUGCAUAGAUAUCACGAAGAACUCCGAUUGCGAAGGCAGCAUACCGGCGCCAAACUGACGCUGAGGCACGAAAGCGUGGGGAUCGAACAGGAUUAGAUACCCGAGUAGUC
rnacentral:rRNA from 1 species